CGUGAACAUAGCAGACUGCUCAGUAACACGUGGAUAACCUGCCCUUAGGACUGGCAUAACCCCGGGAAACUGGGGAUAAUUCCGGAUAGAUCAUAAAUGCUGGAAUGCUUUAUGAUUGAAAGGUUUCGACCGCCUUAGGAUGGAUCUGCGGCCUAUCAGGUUGUAGUGGGUGUAAUGUACCUACUAGCCUACGACGGGUACGGGUUGUGGAAGCAAGAGCCCGGAGAUGGAUUCUGAGACAUGAAUCCAGGCCCUACGGGGCGCAGCAGGCGCGAAAACUUUACAAUGCGGGAAACCGUGAUAAGGGAACACUGAGUGCUAGCAUUUAUGUUAGCUGUCCACAUGUGUAAAUAGCAUGUGAUAGCAAGGGCUGGGCAAGACCGGUGCCAGCCGCCGCGGUAACACCGGCAGCCCGAGUGGUGAUCACUAUUAUUGGGUCUAAAGGGUCCGUAGCCGGUUUAAUCAGUCUUCUGGGAAAUCUAAUCGCUCAACUAUUAGGCUUCCAGGGGAUACUGUUAGACUUGGGACCGGGAGAGGUAAGAGGUACUGCAGGGGUAGGAGUGAAAUCUUGUAAUCCCUGUGAGACCACCAGUGGCGAAGGCGUCUUACCAGAACGGGUCCGACGGUGAGGGACGAAAGCUGGGGGCACGAACCGGAUUAGAUACCCGGGUAGUCCCAGCUGUAAACGAUGCUCGUUAGGUGUCAGGAACGGUGCGACUGUUUCUGGUGCCGAAGAGAAGCCGUGAAACGAGCCACCUGGGAAGUACGGCC
rnacentral:rRNA from 1 species